rnacentral:misc_RNA from 1 species
GAUGAAGAACGUAGCGAAAUGCGAUAAGUAAUGUGAAUUGCAGAAUUCCGUGAAUCAUCGAAUCUUUGAACGCACAUUGCGCCCCCUGGCAUUCCGGGGGGCAUGCCUGUCCGAGCGUCAUUUCUGCCCUCCAGCCCGGCUGGGUGUUGGGCGCUGUCCCCCCGGGGACACGCCCCAAAGGCAGUGGCGGCGCCGCGUCGGGUCCUCGAGCGUAUGGGGCUUUGUCACCCGCUCGGGACGGACUCGUCGGCGCUGGUCUUCCUCCAGGCGACCCUUCGGGGCUCGUCUUCCUUCGGUUGACCUCGGAUCAGGUAGGGUUACCCGCUGAACUUAAGCAUAUCAUAAGCGGAGGA